UGUCAAAGAAUGAAGCUUCGGUAGAUUUCUUUUUCGGAAAGCGGCGGACGGGUGUAGUAACGCGUAGGCAACCUGCCCUUCACAGGGGGAUAGCCACCGGAAACGGUGAUUAAGACCCCAUAACGCGAAGAUGUCACAUGGCAAUUUCGCCAAAGAUUUAUCGGUGAAGGAUGGGCCUGCGUCUGAUUAGCUGGUUGGUGAGGUAACGGCCCACCAAGGCGACGAUCAGUAGCCGAACUGAGAGGUUGAUCGGCCACAUUGGAACUGAGACACGGUCCAAACUCCUACGGGAGGCAGCAGUGGGGAAUAUUGCACAAUGGGCGAAAGCCUGAUGCAGCAACGCCGCGUGAAGGAUGAAGGUCUUCGGAUCGUAAACUUCUGUCCUUGGGGAAGAAACAAAUGACGGUACCCUUGGAGGAAGCCCCGGCUAACUACGUGCCAGCAGCCGCGGUAAUACGUAGGGGGCGAGCGUUAUCCGGAAUUAUUGGGCGUAAAGAGUGCGUAGGUGGUCAUCUAAGCGCAGGGUCUAAGGCAGAGGCUUAACUUCUGUUCGCCCUGCGAACUGGGUGACUUGAGUGCAGGAGAGGAAAGCGGAAUUCCUAGUGUAGCGGUGGAAUGCGUAGAUAUUAGGAGGAACACCAGUGGCGAAGGCGGCUUUCUGGACUGAAACUGACACUGAGGCACGAAAGCGUGGGGAGCAAACAGGAUUAGAUACCCUGGUAGUCCACGCCGUAAACGAUGAGCACUAGGUGUCGGGGUCGCAAGACUUCGGUGCCGGAGUUAACGCAUUAAGUGCUCCGCCUGGGGAGUACGCACGCAAGUGUAAAACUCAAAGGAAUUGACGGGGACCCGCACAAGCAGCGGAGCAUGUGGUUUAAUUCAAAGCAACGCGAAGAACCUUACCAGGACUUGACA
rnacentral:rRNA from 1 species